CCUACGGGGGGCAGCAGUGGGGAAUAUUGGACAAUGGGGGCAACCCUGAUCCAGCCAUGCCGCGUGUGUGAAGAAGGCCCUCGGGUUGUAAAGCACUUUCAGUGAGGAAGAACGCCUGGUGGUUAAUACCCAUCAGGAAAGACAUCACUCACAGAAGAAGCACCGGCUAACUCCGUGCCAGCAGCCGCGGUAAUACGGAGGGUGCGAGCGUUAAUCGGAAUUACUGGGCGUAAAGCGCGCGUAGGUGGCUUGAUAAGCCGGUUGUGAAAGCCCCGGGCUCAACCUGGGAACGGCAUCCGGAACUGUCAAGGUAGGGUGCAGGAGAGGAAGGUAGAAUUCCAGGUGUAGCGGUGCAAUGCGUAGAGACCGGGAGGAAUACCAGUGGCGAAGGCGGCCUUCUGGACUGACACUGACACUGAGGUGCGAAAGCGUGGGUAGCAAACAGGAUUAGAUACCCUAGUAGUA
rnacentral:rRNA from 1 species